CUUGUUGGUGGGGUGAUGGCCUACCAAGGCGACGACGGGUAGCCGGCCUGAGAGGGCGACCGGCCACACUGGGACUGAGACACGGCCCAGACUCCUACGGGAGGCAGCAGUGGGGAAUAUUGCGCAAUGGGCGGAAGCCUGACGCAGCGACGCCGCGUGGGGGAUGACGGCCUUCGGGUUGUAAACCUCUUUCGGCCCCGACGAAGCGUGAGUGACGGUAGGGGUAGAAGAAGCACCGGCCAACUACGUGCCAGCAGCCGCGGUAAUACGUAGGGUGCGAGCGUUGUCCGGAAUUAUUGGGCGUAAAGAGCUCGUAGGCGGUCUGUCGCGUCGGUCGUGAAAACUUGGGGCUUAACCCUGAGCUUGCGGUCGAUACGGGCAUGACUGGAGUUCGGCAGGGGAGACUGGAAUUCCUGGUGUAGCGGUGAAAUGCGCAGAUAUCAGGAGGAACACCGGUGGCGAAGGCGGGUCUCUGGGCCGAUACUGACGCUGAGGAGCGAAAGCGUGGGGAGCGAACAGGAUUAGAUACCCUGGUAGUCCACGCCGUAAACGGUGGGCGCUAGGUGUGGGGGCCAUUCCACGGUCUCUGUGCCGCAGCUAACGCAUUAAGCGCCCCGCCUGGGGAGUACGGCCGCAAGGCUAAAACUCAAAGGAAUUGACG
rnacentral:rRNA from 1 species